rnacentral:piRNA from 1 species
UUCUGCCUUCAGACUCCUUGAUUUUUAGUGC